rnacentral:rRNA from 1 species
GAUGAACGCUAGCGAUAGGCUUAACACAUGCAAGUCGAGCGGCAGCAUGUUCUAAGCUUGCUAAGAUUGAUGGCGAGCGGCACACGGGUGCGUAACGCGGAAGCAACUCGCCUCACAGAGGGGGAUAACCCGUCGAAACACGGACUAAUACCGCAGACACUCGGGAUAAGGCAUCCUCACCCAAGGAAAUGAAAUUCGCUGUGAGAGAGGAAUGCGUCCCAUUGGCUAGUUGGUGAGGUGACGGCUUACCAAGGCGACGAAGGGUAGGGGAAGUGAGAGGUUGAAACCCCGCACUGGUGCUGAGACACGGACCAGACUCCUACGAGAGGGAGCAGUGUGGAAUAUUAGGCAAUGGUGGGGAACCUGGACCAACCAAGUAGCGUGAGAGAUGACUGUGUUGUGUAUUGUAAGCUGCUCUUAUACGCGUAUAGCACGAGCGACGUGUGGGAGGAUGACGGUACCGUAUGAAUAAGCAUCGGCUAACUCCGUG